UUUCACCUGUUAGGUCUCAGCGUGUGAGGCUGAUCCGUGUUCUAUCAGAGGUUAUUUUAUCUUCCACUGGGUCUCCUCAGGACUGCGUCCUCUCGGAUCUUUUAUUUGUUUUGUUCACCAAUUGGUGCCGCAGCCAGCAUGUGGUUCAUCACUUUAUUAGGUUUGCUGACGACGUUUGCUCCUUUAUGAUGAUCCCAAUCAUGGUCCUGUUCUUGUUUCAUUCCUUCAGCCUGUUGCUGUCAGAGAGGAGGGAGGAGGGCCCUUCUCCAUCCAGGGAAUCCUGACCCAGAAACUGUGCCACGACCAGGCGGCAACAGCAGCCGCAGUGUGUGUGAGGAGGUCAGCAAGUUCACGGAGAUCUCCUUCCUUACAGCUCCGGCCCUUCCCCAUCAUAUCUAUCAAUAGGAACGACCUACUUUCUGGCCACAGUCAAUAAUGUAUUGACUAUUGUGAGAGCCAUCAAAUAAAUAAAACCCUUGUUUGUUUUAGA